GGUUGCGUAGUGUAGCGGUUAUCACUCCAGAUUCUGACCAAUGAUUUCUGGCAACCCCGGUUCGAUUCCGGGCGCGACCU